UUCCUGUUGACAUGCUUACCUUCUACAUAGCUGGCUGCUCCAGAGGCUGCCAUCUCUUCUGAGAGUGCUGGGGAUCAAAUCCAGGGUCUUGUGUAUGCUGAGCAGAUAUUCUACCACUGAGCUACACUUCCACCCCAGCACCAAUCCUUCAAGUUUUAGAUCAUGUCUCUUCAUGAAAGCUUCCCUGGUCACUGGAGGUAAAGUCUUAUCUGCGACCAGAGUAAUAAAGAAUAAAUAAUAAGUGGAACAACAUAUGCAACCACUCACCCACCUGCUCGUGCAAUCAAGCAACUCUGCUGAGGUUGUUUAAGUGGGAAUUCCCUGACUCGUCUUUCUGACAGGAUGAGGAGGACAGAUGACGGAGCUCCGGCUAUUCUCAGGGUUGCAAGGCAGGAGACAGAAGACCUACAGGAAGCUUCCUUGCUGGAGUAACACAACAGAGUCCUGUCUGAGGCACUUCCGAAGGGGUGGGCUUGCUGCCCAUAAGGCUGGGAAAGACAGCUUUGGCUUGGCCUGAGUUCAUGAACAUUUUCCCCUAGAUAUCAAGAGAAGUUUUCUGCUUCCAGUUCAGUUUAGUAAGUGAAUGACAUGCUUUUCCCUCAAACUCCUGGAGAGGUGGAGGUGGAGGUGGAGAUGCUGAAUUUUGUACCUAGUUCAAUUUCAUAGGGUAGGAGGUAUCCCUUCUACUUCUAGUCUUCACAAUGGAUGGUUGACUAAUAUAGUUCAUGGUAACAGCCUGAAGGAAGACAAGGUUAAACCAAGGAAAGCAUUUUUCCCUAGUGAAAGGUGCCAGCAAGUUUCUUAUGGAUGAGUAGAAGGAGACAGUAAGAUUUUUUAGCUAAAUACAGCAUUUAUGUUACCUGUGGAUCAUAAAUUGCUAAAUGCAUAGACAGUUGACAGUUGCUUGGAUUUCAAUUCUUACUUCGGUUGUAGAUUUGCUAUGUAGGAGGGACUGAAAUAGGCAAUUAGAAUGACCUAUGAAAGACUGAGUCCAUUUUUGAUAUUUCCAUUAAAUAAGUUUUUUUCCUCUCAUAGCUGAACACUUAGGAAUUGGGCAAUAUUCCCGGAUAAUGUUUUCCCUACAGCUGGUUACAUGCUUAUAGCAUGUUGGCUUGUGGUCUCUCGUGAUGUCAGAGUGAAGGAAAGGCCAUUAGCUACUAAGUUGAAGACCACAGAUGUUCCCCGUUGUGCACAGGUUUUUCAGACGUAAAUCUCAAUGUUCUGGGAGGCUGGUAGGAAGUUCUGGGAAAUAAUUCUGGGAUAAAAGAAGUUUUAAACAAUGCCCAUUGCAAACACAAGGACACUGUAAAUAAACCAAAUCUCCUGUGUACUUCCCUUUCAGCCAUAAAUACAUCUUUUCCUCUUCUGGAUCUUGCUGGCUUCCUUGUACAGGGCUGCUAGCCUGCAGCACCCUUGGCGACUUAGUUGAUUUCCACAUUUCAUCAAUUCCUUCCUCAUUCACCUGGACUUCCUGUCGCUCUUUUAGGAAAUACACUUCUUCCUGCAAUUGCUCAAAGCACAGACAUAAGACCUUCUUGAACCACCACUGGGGCAAGAGUGGAGAAGUAACUCAGCAGUCCCAUAGGGCAUGGUUCUUAAAGCCAGAGUUGGUUUAUUCUCACUCCUUCAUGGUUUAUGAGUCUUUUAGAUGACACCAGGUUUGUCUUUUAGGACUUAUAUAUGUUACAUUUUAUUUCACAGAACAAACAGAAGUUAUAGGAAGAAACCUCACAAUCUCACUUAUCAACCAUGUCAAUCUAUCUAUCUCUGCACUCAUGCUCCUCUCCUUUCCCGUUGUUCCAGUACAGCAGUAUUUCUAAAAGUUUUGUCCCUAAAGUACCCAAUAGGAUUACCUGGAUUGUGUGUGGUUUAAAAAAAAAAAAGCUAGACCUAUUAAUUCAGAAACCUAGGAGGUAAGUAGGGCAGGAGAAUCUGAAUUCUAAUGAGCAUACUUGUGGCUUCUCAUGUACACUGGUAUUUAGGGACCACCACCUUAACCUGUUUACCAUGUUUUCUGUAAUGCAUUAAUCCCUUUCUCCGUAGGAAACAGAGAAGGGUUUCUUAUUUGUUAAAAUCAAGGAUCCUGAAGCUAUGA